GUUAGAAUGGCCGAGCGGUCUAAGGCGCCAGACUCAAGAGUAGCAUUUCUCUGCCGGAGAGUUGAGUGUUCUGGUCCACGGAUGUGGGCGUGGGUUCGAAUCCCACUUCUGGCU